ACGUAGGGGGCGAGCGUUGUCCGGAAUUACUGGGCGUAAAGGGCGUGUAGGCGGUUGGAUAAGUCUGGUGUGAAAUGGCGGGGCUCAACCUCGUCGCUGCGCUGGAAACUGUCUGACUGGAGUUCGGCAGGGGUUACUGGAAUCCCCGGUGUAACGGUGAAAUGUGUAGAUAUCGGGGGGAACACCUGUGGCGAAGGCGGGUAACUGGGCCGAGACUGACGCUGAUACGCGAAAGCGUGGGGAGCAAACAG
rnacentral:rRNA from 1 species